UUCGAGUUGACCCCGGCAGUCUCCUAUGAGUCCCCGCCAUCACGCGCUGGCAACAUAGAACGAGGGUUGCGCUCGUUGCGGGACUUAACCCAACAUCUCACGACACGAGCUGACGACAACCAUGCACCACCUGUGCAGGACCCUUGCGGACCUCCCAUCUCUGAGGCUUUCCGGCGUAUGUCAAACCCAGGUAAGGUUCUUCGCGUUGCAUCGAAUUAAUCCGCAUGCUCCGCCGCUUGUGCGGGCCCCCGUCAAUUCCUUUGAGUUUCAGCCUUGCGGCCGUACUCCCCAGGCGGGGCACUUACUGCGUUAGCGACGGCACCGGGAGGGUCGCUCCCCCCGACGCCUAGUGCCCAUCGUUUACGGCGUGGACUAC
rnacentral:misc_RNA from 1 species